AUAAUAAAAUAUUUAUGUGAAAAUAUUAUGAAAUCCAUGGGUAAUUUUAUAAAACUUGUUUGGACUAAAAAAAGAAAUAGCAAACAUACAACUAGCAAGUUGCCAUUCUAUUAUGCAUUAGUAAAAAGCUAAUAAAUUGAAGUAAAAAGAAUAACUAGCAAACAUAAAAUGUAUACAUAGAUCCAAAAUUAUUUCCAAUAAAACAUAAGUUCCACCAACAUAAAACUAAAAAUCCUUUUAUAAUACAUAUAGAAGUUCAAGCACCAUUAGUUAAAUAAGUCACCUACCACAUAAGUUCAAAAUCCCAACAUAACAACACAAGUACAUAGUUUCAAUAUCGUAAUUGAUAUCAGACUAUAUCUCACGAUGAAGCAUUUGAAUAACAUAUCAUUUCUUGAGGUGAUUAUUUAAGGUAAAGAAUACAUAAAGCAAAUCAUGGUUUAAAAUCAACAUAGUAGUUGCAUCAUAUAAUUUUUUCAUCAGCCAAGCCUUCAAUUUUGCUUAUUUCUCCAUAUAACUUGCCUUGUAAAUCAGAUAUAUUCUUAUCAUUAGAAAGUACAUUAAUCAAACCAUCUAGCUUAGGGACCAUUGCUGCCAGCGACUCGACCAUUGUCCCAAUAUUUGAGCACAUGUGAUCAAAUGAUUUGUUUUUACUUUUUCUUUUCCUAGACUUAUUUAUUAAAUAACUUAGAACAAAAUUAACUUGUUGAUGAGGAGCAGUAUUCAUUUAAGGAGUAUAUGACAUAUCAUCAAUGAAAUCUUCCAUAAACGCUAAUUAUUUGACUUAUCUCCUAAACUGAUGCCAAAUUUUUCACCUUGAUGAAAUUCUUCCUCAUCAUCAUCUGCAUUAUCGGUGCGUUUGCUCUAGUUGCCUGAUCUCAGCCAUAAAUAUCACCUAAGUUGUAAUAAUGUGGAAAUAGUUUAUUAAAUAAGCCAAUUGUAUCCUUUCUUUUUUAUUUAAGAAAAUAAAAACAAUGUAUCAGUAAUAUAAAAUCAAGUAGUAUAAAUAACACAAAAGUUUGAAACUUUACCUUAACAUAUUCAUAAAAAACACCAUUUUCACAUGUUAUCAUCACCUUCUCAUUAUCCCAACCAAAACUACUAACAUAUAAGAUAUUUUGCAUAAGACAAUAUUUUUUCUUGAACCACUUCACUUGAGAUUCAAUGGGAAGAGAAACUUUCAAACCAUAACCUAGCAAUUUCACUUCCAUCUUGAUUUCUAUUUAUUGCAAAUACCCAUUUUAAAACCACAAUCAGACCUCCAUAUAUAUUUCGGCUUAAUUCCAAUGAGUUAAUCAAUGAAUUAUUUUCAGCAGUUGUUCAAAAAAUUUUGUUCAUACCCCAACCUCUCGGAGUUAAAAUGGGAACGAAACUCAUUCUACUUAUUCAAAUACUGUAUCAAUAGUCAAACAAUAAUACAAUCCAAUAUAAAAGAAUAAUACAAUAUUCAAACUCAAAGAGUCAUAUAAUAUCCAAUGUAAAAAAACAAUAUAAUAUCCAAUCUUAAAUAACAAUACAAUAUCCAAACUCUAAGAAUAGUAGAAUAUCUAAAAAGUAAUAGCAUAUUAUCCAAUGUCAACGAACAAUACAAUAACAAAUGUCAAAUAAUAGUAUAAUACAAUGUAAAAUAAUUUGAAUUCUAUAAGGUCAUAAAAAAACCUUCGUGCUUGUCUACUUGUGUGCCAUGUGUUCUAAAUCUCUUAGGCCAAAAUUUGUCACCAAAUAAUCCACUCAUUGAGCAUGUAUUAUACUCUAAGUCAUGCAAUAUAUAGAGUUAAUCAUUAUCCAUUUAUGUUUCUAUAUCAAAAAAAGACAUUCUGUGUAAUGAAGUUAUGUAGCAUUCAAAAAUCCAAAACAUCAUUCAAUCACAUUUCGAGUACUUGAGUGUUUUAUAUUUAAUAACUCUUCUGUUGGUAGUAAGUUGGUACCUAUCUAUAACGUCACUCAAAUGGUAACAUUGUCCUCUAAAAAGUUAAAGAGAACCAUCCCACUCAUGUAUCCACCAUUAACCAAGUAAUAAUAACUUAUUGACAAAAAAUAAAAUAUUAUUAAAAAAAGUCAUGUUGGGCAAAUAGAUUCGGCAUAUGUCAUCACCCAUGCAUUACAUGUUCAGUAAAAGGAACACAAAUCAUAGCAUGACAGUGAACAAUAUCUAUAAACAACCACUAAAUGCUUGCACAGUACUUGGCCAAGUUGAAAUUCACAAGUACAAAGUCUAUCACGUAGAUUAACUUGUGCAUCGAAUGUUGAAUCCCUUAAAAUAUACUCAUAUAAAUUUAAUUGUAUAACAUGGUAGGUUUAAAAAGUUUUCUCUUUUCUUUUAAAAUCGUUUUCAACCCACUCUCUCAACUAAGAAUUUGUCUUCAUUGCCACUGCAUGACACUCUUAGUACCAAUCUUACAAAGCCCUUAGAAUUUGAUCAAUUAAUUGUGAAUGGGUAAAUGAGGAUGGUCUCUUAACUUAGCAUUUAAACAUUCAUAAUUACUAAUAGUCAUGAUGCUAUAACACGUCCAUCAAAAUAAUAUCGUGCCCAAUUUUGAAACCCAAUGAAUAAAUAUUUACCAAUAACUCUUGAUGACCCAUUAAUUUGUAUCAUUAAUUAGUCAAAGUCAAUAGUGCGAUAAGCUCCAAUAACCUUUACAAAAUAUAGAGUAUAAACCUUGUAUUUUUUUUAAACUUGCUUUUGAGGAUAAAUCCCAUGUUAUACUAGGAGUGGGCAAUUCACAGUUCAGUUUGGUUUUGGUCCAAAACCAAAUCGAACCAUACCGAAACAGAUCAAUUCCAAAUGAUGUGAGCCAAAUGAAAUUUAGAAUUGAAUAGAACUAAACCAAAAGUUUUAGUGCGGUUCGGUUUGAUUCUCCAUUUUCAAAUUCAUUUUCAAUUGUAUUAAAUGAAUUGGAUUUUAUGGUUUUUACUUUUCACCGGUAUUAAUUAAACUGUACAAUUUUUACUUUUUACCUUUUAUUAACUAUGUGUUUACACACUAAAUGAAAAGUCCUCAAUUCAAAACAAAAUAGUAAAAGUCCCAACACAUAACAAAGUCACAAUUCAUAAAACACAUAAAUAAAAAAAUCCAUUACAAACUAUAAAUCAAUAGUAACAAAACAAGAAAACACCAAAGUUCGCAAUAUCACAUUAUCGGAAGUAAAAGCAACUCCAAAAAUUUCACUAAUAUUGACAUUUGCCAAAACUCCACAAUAGCAAAAAAGCCAUACCAAAACCACAUCAAUCAUCUAAAUUAACUACAUUAAAGGGAGCCAAGCAUCAAUACUUAAACUAAAUAAACAAAGUGAUAUUAAAUAGCUAAUGAAUAGAUGUAUCAACUUUUUACCUAAAUGCUCUUCAAGUUAAACAAAUUUUUUCAUGUUGAAAUACCAUGUUGGUCUGCCAUUGCUAAUUUAUGAAGUUCUAUGUGGAGAAAAAUUGAACAAAUUAAGUAAGGUUUAAUAGUACUUAAACUAUAUAAAGUCAUCAAACUUAUAAAGGAAAAAAUUUCUAAGAAAUUAAAACUUAAUAAAUCAACUUUUCAUUUUGGUGGUAGUUUUACUGCCUUAAUCAAACUUUAAUACAUUUCAUUCUAGAUCUUUAUUAUAGCAGUAGAAAUAAAAAAUAUCAACAAACUAUUAACACAAAUAAAUUUAAUAAUAUUAUCUUUACACACUUGGAUACAUAAAUUAUAUUUUAUCUAAUGUUACACUUAUUUUUAAAUGUUAUAUUUCAAUGAUACUUGAUUUUAUAAUCUACCAAUAUUGUAAUAAUUUUGUAAUACAUAUAAAUGAAUUGCACAAUAUUUAGUAUAUAAUCACAUAAUGAUAUAUGAUAUUGCAAAUUACUCAAAUAAUUUGACUUCAUUUAAAAAAAAAUGUUUCUAAAUUAUUCAAUAUUAGUAGUAUUAAAGUUGUAAUUACCCAAUGUUUUAAUAGAAAGUGCAUUGAUCCUUCAUGCUUUAGCAAAAUUGCCACAUAAAUCUUGCUUUGAACAAUUAUGUCCAUAAGAAGUAUCAUGGUUCACUUUGGUUAAGGGGUAUAAUUGUCCAAAAAGGGUGUAUGUGACCAUUUUUUUUAAAAUAAUAAAGGUCUUUUUGUGACAAUUUCACAAACAGGGGCUUGUCAUUAUCUUUUUUCCUAAUAUUUACAAUGCAAUGUGAAUAAGAAUCGUAAUUAUAAAUAACAAUAUUACUCGACCCCAAAGUAACGGUUGGGUGAUUUCUUUAUUUAGCUUGCUACCGAGUUAAAUUCAUGAGGGAUUGUAUGAGUUAAAAAGUUAUAUUUAGCUUCUCCCAACCAUAUCCCUAAAAUAAUAAUAUUAGAUUAACAAUGUUACUAGUUAAAAAAAAAAUAAUGUCACAAAUGAAUUUAGUUUAAUCAAAUUAAUAUUAGCCAAGUGCUAGCCAUGAUAGUUAUUAACAACAUUAAAAGAGAAAAAAGGCUUAGUUUUUGAAUUAUGAUAUCAUCAAUCACAAUAACACUAAUAGAAAUAGAUUAAAAAUUAUCAUUACGUUUAUAAUUGUAAAUUACAAGUACUUAUAUAAAUUAUUGUGACUUAAAAAUAGUGAAUAAAUGUAAUCAUAAAAAAAUACACAUCGUUAUGAAUAAAGUAAUUAAUCUCACAUAAAUUUAUAUGAAUUAACUUACACAAGAGAUUUACGAGUAUUAUUUAAAAAAUAUCAAACAUUAGAUAUUUUAGACUUGUCUAAUAUACAAAUAUUAUAGGUCUACAUAUUUAUAACGUAUUGCACUGUCAAA
rnacentral:lncRNA from 1 species